AUUGAACGCUGGCGGCAUGCUUUACACAUGCAAGUCGAACGGUAACAGGCCGCAAGGUGCUGACGAGUGGCGAACGGGUGAGUAAUGCAUCGGAACGUGCCCAGUCGUGGGGGAUAACGCAGCGAAAGCUGCGCUAAUACCGCAUACGAUCUCUGGAUGAAAGCGGGGGACCGAAAGGCCUCGCGCGAUUGGAGCGGCCGAUGUCAGAUUAGGUAGUUGGUGGGGUAAAGGCCCACCAAGCCAACGAUCUGUAGCUGGUCUGAGAGGACGACCAGCCACACUGGGACUGAGACACGGCCCAGACUCCUACGGGAGGCAGCAGUGGGGAAUUUUGGACAAUGGGCGCAAGCCUGAUCCAGCAAUGCCGCGUGCAGGAAGAAGGCCUUCGGGUUGUAAACUGCUUUUGUACGGAACGAAACGGUCCGGGUUAAUACCCUGGGCUAAUGACGGUACCGUAAGAAUAAGCACCGGCUAACUACGUGCCAGCCGCCGCGGUAA
rnacentral:rRNA from 1 species